rnacentral:rRNA from 1 species
UUUAAUUUUAAUUAUUAAUUUAUUUUUUUAAAAAAUUUCAUAAAACAAAUAUGUGAUUAGUAUAAGUAAAUUUAUUAAAAUAUAAAAUUCAUAAUAGAAUAUUAGUAUCGAAAGAGAAAUUAUUUUUAAUUUUAAAAGAAAAAUUUAAUUUUUGUACCUUGUGUAUCAGGGUUUAUUAAAUUAUAUUCUGUUAGUUUAAAUCUCGAAUUGAAAAGAUCUAAUUUUAUAUUUUUAAUUGUAAAAUAAAUUUUACUUAUAUAAUUUUAGAAAUGAAACGUUAUUCGUUUUUCAUAUAUCUAGUUAUGGAAGAAAUCUAUUAAAUAGAUAAUUUUAAUAUUAAAAAUUUAAUUUUUAAAUUAUUUAAUUUUUUAAAUUAUAUAAUUAUUGGGAUAAUCUUUUAAUUAAAUUAAUAAAAUUUAUAAAUGAAUAUAAAUUUUUAGAAUUAAAAAUUUUCAGUUUAUAAUUUGUUAUAAUUAAUUUAUUUAUAAAAAUAAUUUAUAUAAAUUUAUUUAUUCUAUUUCAUUAAUUUAAUAAAUUUUUUAUUAAAUUUAAUAAUGAUAAAAUUAGUAAUUUUAUUUUAAGAAUAUAUUAUUAUUACUAUAUUAUUAAAAAGAACUCGGCAAAUUAGUUUUCGCCUGUUUAUUAAAAACAUGUCUUUCUGAUAAUAAUAAAAAGUCGAGCCUGCCCAAUGAAUAUUAAAUGGCUGCAGUAUUUUGACUGUACAAAGGUAGCAUAAUCAUUAGUUUUUUAAUUGAAAACUAGAAUGAAUGGUUUAACGAAAAACUUUCUGUUUUUUAAUAAAAAUAUGAAUUUUAUUUUUUAGUUAAAAAGCUAAAAUAUUUUUAAAAGACGAGAAGACCCUAUAGAGUUUUAUAUAUAUAGAUUAUAAAUUUUUAAUUUUAUAAUUUAAUUAUAUUUUAUUGGGGUGAUAGGAAAAUUUAUUAAACUUUUCUUAAUUUAUACAUUUAUUUAUGAAUAUAUGAUCCAUUAAUUAUGAUUAUAAGAAUAAAUUACCUUAGGGAUAACAGCGUAAUUUAUUUUUAGAGUUCCUAUCGAAAAAUAAGUUUGCGACCUCGAUGUUGGAUUAAAAUUUAUAAUUAAUGCAAAAGUUAAUUUAUUAGGUCUGUUCGACCUUUAAAAUUUUACAUGAUCUGAGUUUAAACCGGUGUGAGCCAGGUUGGUUUCUAUCUUUAAAAUGAAUUCUUAAUUUAGUACGAAAGGAUCAAUUAAGAAUUAUAAUAAUUUAAUUUUGAAUUAAAUU